rnacentral:rRNA from 1 species
CCUACGGGGCGCUGCAGUGGGGAAUAUUGGACAAUGGGCGAAAGCCUGAUCCAGCCAUGCCGCGUGUGUGAAGAAGGCCUUCGGGUUGUAAAGCACUUUCAGUGGGGAAGAAAGCCUUGGGGCUAAUACCCUCGAGGAAGGACAUCACCCACAGAAGAAGCACCGGCUAACUCCGUGCCAGCAGCCGCGGUAAUACGGAGGGUGCGAGCGUUAAUCGGAAUUACUGGGCGUAAAGCGCGCGUAGGCGGUCUGAUAAGCCGGUUGUGAAAGCCCCGGGCUCAACCUGGGAACGGCAUCCGGAACUGUCAGGCUAGAGUGCAGGGGAGGAAGGUAGAAUUCCCGGUGUAGCGGUGAAAUGCGUAGAGAUCGGGAGGAAUACCAGUGGCGAAGGCGGCCUUCUGGACUGACACUGACGCUGAGGUGCGAAAGCGUGGGUAGCAAACAGGAUUAGAUACCCUGGUAGUC